GCUUUUAUGGGGCAGGGGAAGGCGCGGAAAGAUAUUACUGUUUUUUUAGCCGCGUGGCCGGGUCAUCGGGGGAGAGAUUGUGCCUGCAGUCGCCGAGAGCACGAUUCCUGCAAAGUCAUCUUCACCCGCACAGCCUGGUCGACCGGUCAGCCCGCCCCGCCCCGCCCGGAGACAGCAGCACCAGCCACCCCCACCCCGCGCUUUGCUCGCAGCGCCCAGAGUUGGGGUGCGGUGCUGACUAUGUUUAGAGGCUGAUGUCAUCGUGACACCCUACUCUGCAGUGUUCCCAGGGGUACCGCAGGGCAGGUUUUCCUGAUCUUCGAGGAUGUGGGGGUGGAAGGUGGCUUGCCUUCUCAGCACACCUCACACCCAUGGUACCCCAGAGAGUUAAAAAAAAAAAUCUCUCUAGAGUUAUGAAACAGGGCGGUGCGCGCACGUGGAGGGUGCAAAUCUAGUGGCUAGCGCCCCGAGGGGCCAGCAGUCCUCCCUAGUUGCUCCACCCCCAGCUCAGGUAUGGGGGCUAAUUUCAAGGUUAGCUCACGUGGGCGCGGGCGCCCGGAGCUCCUUGCACGAGUUUGGGGCGGGUUCCUCGUCCCCCAAUCUAGGGCAGUUUGUUCAACUGCAGCAAAGGGAGCUUGAUGUUCCAGCAGGGAAGGGAUUUCUGAGAACUGGGACUGUCCUCAGAUGAACCUGCCUCCUCCGGCUGCUGCUGCGGCGGCCGCCUGCGGAAGACUUUUUAAAAGGGCGAUGCCAGGCCCAGACGCUCGGCGCGCAAGUGGCUGAACCGCCCGCCACUCUGCGGCCAGAGCAGAGCACCCGCCUCCGAGCAGCGAGCUGGGCCGCUCUGAGCACAGGGGGCUGCGGGCUAAACUUAUCCUCCUGCAUAUGCAUGAACGGAUGGCCUUUCCGCUCUGCAAUGGAGAGGCCUGGAGUUUUGCGGUAGGCUGCUGAGUGGAGAGAGAGAGAGUAAAGUAGGGCGUCGUGGUUACCACCAGCAACGCAAAAUGUAAAGAUCUGUCCAGUUUCACACCAGCUCUGCAGGUUUACAAGUGUCGGGCGCUAGCUUUCGGAACGCUCUUCUGAUUGGCUGAGCCAAUGCCAGUGACAUCAACCAACUUACUUUUGAUUGGAAGGCUGGUUGCUGGGACUGUAGCGUUUGCAGGAAGUCACUUAACUGUUUGAGGGCUGGAAACCUGAAGCUGAAGUUCUGUUUCGUCCCUAGGGACGGGUGCAACCGCCUGGGGGAAGACACGUCCCCAAGCCACGCCAGCCGGCACGUGGGCCGGGAGGCGUGGGCGCGCGCGCGCGGACCGGGCGGCAUCCGCGGGAAUGCGCCGCCCGGCUCGGAGCAGUUUCCCUUUUAAAUGUCAGCGUUCGGGACUGGAGGGGCAGCACGCGGCGGCGGAACGGAACGGUCGGAUUGGCCGCGCGCCGUAGUUCUAGACGCACCUCUCCACCGAAGGGCCCUUCUGACUGGCAGGGGGAGAAAGUAAACAGAGUUGAAUCACCCUCCCCACUGGCCAAUUGGAGGGGGCCUGGACUGUGACGUGAUGGGAUUCUGCGAAAUUGUUACUGAGCUGGAGAAUGCCGGAGCGGCGCGGCGCGGCAGGACCAAGGGCUCGGUGGCCGUCGGCGGACGCGGGAAGAAGUGUCUUCUAAGCGCGGCGUCCCGCUCGACCCCCGCCCCCCGCGUCCGCGUACUCGGCUGAUGCCCCAGGGCGUGAGCUCGGCGGAGAGGCGGCCGAGGGCGUGCGCCUGCCUGGCAGUUGCCUUUCCCCGCGACUCGGACGCAUUUGCAGUCGAAUAAACUUGCGACCGCCA